AGGAUAUGACGUUGUUUUUCUGAUAGGAGGACUUAAUCAGAAAGGGAGGAGGGAAUCCUCUGUAUACCAGCAUAGUGAAGAAAACAGCACCAGAAACAAGACUGACUUUAAAAACACAACAUGAUGAUCAUUGUCUGCUGCAUAACCUUGAAUGUUAUACUGGUUUCAGGUUCCUCUCUAAAUGAACUAGUCUACCAGAAUCCAGCCCACACUUUCAACAAACCUGAAGGAGCAGCUAAAAUUGAGUGUUCACACAGUAUUCAAAACCAUGAUACAAUCCUCUGGUACAAGAAAUCAAAGAACAGACAGCUGCAGUUGCUUGGAUACAUGGUGGGAGGCAGUGGAUCUCCAGAGAAGGGAGUGAAUGUGAAGAUAGCAGGGAGUGCAAAUAAAGACCAAAACUGCACAUUAACAAUUGAAGAACUCCAGCUGAACAGCAGUGCAGUGUACUUCUGUGCAGCCAGAUUACACAGUGCUACAUAUCACUGCUCCACAGUACAAAAACCUCCAUAACACGUUUUCAUCUCACAGCCUCUUGCACCUGUAUGCUUUAAUCAGACCUUUAUACAGAGGCAGCAGUGGUAGUUGACAUGAUGGUUAUAAUGUUAAGAGGAGGAGGAUACACUUCUGACACCACCCACCUCAUGUCUUCAUGUUGGUUUGCUGAUAGGAGGGUUUACUCAAAGAGGAGGAUGGAAAUAAUCAUAAUCAUCUGCCGACACACUGAGGGUAUCUUUUGUAUCAGCGAUAAAAUUAUUACCAAACACAAAAUACAACAUGAUCAUCUUAUUCCUAAGCAUUCAUUUGAACACUAUUCUGGUUUCAGGUAAUGUCAUCUGGUGUUUUACAGUGCUGCUAUUUUAGCUGUAACUGAAUUUUAUAACAUUGUUGAAUUAACCAGCACUCAUUCUUAUACACUGUGUCUCAUCUUUUCAGCAGGUUCCUCUCUCAGUGACCAAGUCCAUCAGACUCCAGCUGACAUUUACAACACACCAGGACAAAUAGCCAAGAUUGAAUGUUCACACACCAAUCCAAGCUUUAACCAAAUCCUCUGGUACAAGAAAUCAAAGAACAGACAGCUGCAGUUGCUUGGAUACAUGGUGGGAGGCAGUGGAUCUCCAGAGAAUGGAGUGAAUGUGAAGAUAGCAGGGAGUGCAAAUAAAGACCAAAACUGCACAUUAACAAUUGAAGAACUCCAGCUGAACAGCAGUGCAGUGUACUUCUGUGCUGCUAGUUUACACAGUGCUACAUAUCACUGCUCCUCAGUACAAAAACCUUCUGAUAUCUUCAUGUUACAGGUUACACCUGUAUUAACCCAUUCUAGCCAAUGUUGGUCUUCCCUUUCAUCCAGAUCAGAUAUUAUAAUGGGAAGUUCCUUAUGUUCCUAACAACAGCCUCAGACGUUCAGCAGGUCUGCAGUGCCUGCACCUUAUUUCAACAAGAUAACUAUCAAAUGGUUGUCCAAUUAUCUGAAUGCAACUGUCUAUUACUGACAAAUAAAUUAACAGCUCCAUAAGUUUUUAAAUAUUCAGACUAAGAGACCAAGUUCAUGUUAGCAGUGUCUCUGGUAGUACAUCAUAUCACAUCAUACAGCGACACUCCCACAACUCUUCAUCUCUCUGCUGUAACGUCACACCUCCCAUCACACACACUGACACCGACUCCGGUCUCCAAGUUCAUGUUACUCAGAACACAAUAAUGAUCACUGCUGGUCUGAUCAGACUCUCUGCAGCUCUGCUCUGGAUUGUAGGUACUGUACACUCUGAUGCUGGGGACUGAGAGGAGAAUCUGUUACUUUAAAGUCAUACUAAUGGUUUUAUAUUGGUCAUUCUGUCAGCAUACAGAGGACCUGAUGGUGGUCCUGUAACAUGACAUGUGAUUUUCUUUUUUACCCCCACAGGUCUAAUUGAUGGGAGUGAUGUCACUCAGACACCUUUGCUGUGGAAGGUCAAGGAUCAGUCUGCCACAAUGAACUGCAGUCACAACAAGGAUGCCAGUUAUUUCCAGAUGUACUGGUACAGACAGCUACCAGGAGAGGGGAUGAAGCAAAUAGUUUUCACCACUACAACUCCACCACAUAAAUAUGAAAGUGGCUUCAGCGAGGACAAGUUUCCAGCGCAGAAGAACAACCCUCAGACUGGAUCUUUGACAGUGGAGAAGCUGCUGCCUGAGGACAGUGGAGUGUAUUUUUGUGCUGUGAGUCAACACAGUGAUACAGGUGGCUGAGACAGCUGUACAAAUACCCAACUGUUGCUGUCACAAUGAAUAGAAGACAUCAUCACUGUGUAUAAUUCUCUGUAGGAGGAGCUGGAGACCUGUAUGCUACAUUAAGAUUUUGAGUAGUCAGUGUUAUUUGUUAUAUCAAUAGUUUUGUAAUAUAUAUGUUAUACUGGAGUGUAGAAAUAUGUUGAAGUUAAAGGUCAGUGAAUGUGAAAUGACAUACCAAACAAAUACAGACAUUGUCACAUCACUACUUUUUACAUGCUGUAUUAGGUUUCUUUCUCUGACCCUUAAAUGUAAAAAAAAAAACUUUUCCUACUUUUCAUGCAUUGCAGAACAGUGUGAAAUUAUUACACAUUAUUUUGUGACAGAUAACUGUCUGAAUCUAGAAUAAAAAGACAUUUUAUCUAUAAACCUGCAUAACCUCUGGGUUUACUGCCAAAUAUAGUGACUAGCACCUGGAACCAGUUGAAUCCAAACCCUAUCAAAAAAGUUUUAUGACUCUGUGUCUGAUGUGUCCUGACUACUAAAAAAUGUUAAUAAAGAGCAAUGUAGACAGCCUGUCUGUUAAUUCACAUGUAUCACCAGUGUGUGCUGUCUCACAGUAAUAACACACCUUUUCACAGAUAGCAUCAUCAUGUGACAGGAUGGAGGACGAGAUGCUGUUAUCAGCUUUGUUGAACUCAUCACUGUAACUAUAAUUUGUCUGAUCAGCAGAUUAAAAUGAUCUGAUCUUCACUGUGUCCCUGUUCAGAGCUAUAGGUUUUAUACUUUUGCACAAAAACACCCAAUAAUUAUAUUUUCUCAAAGAGCAAGUCAAACCCUCUGAUAAGAAAAUAUACCAUAAAUUCAAUUACAGUUUGGUUUUGUAUGGAGUUGCAGUAAUUAUAUUUUCAGAUUAAUCAUUUAGUUGACACAUAGUAAAAAUAAAAUAGUAAACAUCACCAAUCAUCAAUCCCAGAGUCAUUAUUAGCUUGUUCUGCAAAGAAAACAAAGCCCAAAACAUAGCUAAUGUUUGGCUUUUUUGGUCUUGAUAAGCGUUCACAACAUAUUGAAAAUCUGUCUCCUCCCAUCUAAGCUGAUCCCUGAACGUCUGUUCAGUCCGUCAGUGCAAAGACA
rnacentral:lncRNA from 1 species